AUUGAACGCUGGCGGCAGGCCUAACACAUGCAAGUCGAACGAGUGGCGGACGGGUGAGUAAUGUCUGGGAAACUGCCUGAUGGAGGGGGAUAACUACUGGAAACGGUAGCUAAUACAGCAUACUAUCAGAUGAGCCGAGGUCGGAUUAGCGAGUUGGUGGGGUAAAGGACUACCAGGGCGACGAUCCGUAACUGGUCUGAGAGGAGGAUCAGUCACAAUGGAACUUAGACACGGUCCAGACGCCUACGGGAGGCAGCAGUGGUGAAUAUUGGACAAUGGGCGAAAGCCUGAUCCAGCCAUGCCGCGUGUGUGAAGAAGGUCUUCGGAUUGUAAAGCACUUUAAGUUGGGAGGCGUUACCAACAGAAUAAGCACCGGCUAACUUCGUGCCAGCAGCCGCGGUAAUUC
rnacentral:rRNA from 1 species